rnacentral:tRNA from 1 species
CCUCUGGUAGCUCAAUUGGUAGAGCGGUGGACUGUAGAUCCAUAGGUCGCUGGUUCAAAUCCGGCCCAGAGGA